UAAGCAGGCCGGCUUGUCGCUGCCGCUGCUGUUUCGGCAACAGGGGAGAGGAAAGUCCGGGCAACACAGAGCAACCGCCCUUCUUAACUGGAAGAUGGCCGUGAGGUUAUGACAAAUGCAGAAGAAAACAACCGCCCGAAAGGGCAAGGGUGAGAAAGCGGGGUAAGAGCCCACUAUCGUCGGCAGUGAUGCCGGUGAUGUGCAUCGGCGGGUUGAAAGACCAAAUAUACCGGCAUCAUUCGGGCUGCUCGUCCGAGCCGGGGGGUAGGUCGUUAGAGGGCGUCAGCAAUGGCGUCAGUAGAUAAAUGACAGGCGCUUGGCUUCGGUCAGGAACAGAAUCCGGCUUACAGGUCUGCUUUUUUA
rnacentral:RNase_P_RNA from 1 species